UUGACCUCAAAUCGGGUGAGACUACCCGCUGAACUUAAGCAUAUCAAUAAGCGGAGGAAAAGAAACUAACAAGGAUUCCCCUAGUAACUGCGAGUGAAGCGGGAAAAGCUCAAAUUUAAAAUCUGGUGGUCUUUGGCCAUCCGAGUUGUAAUUUAGAGAAGCGU
rnacentral:rRNA from 1 species